GACGAACGCUGGCGGCGUGCCUAAUCCAUGCGAGUGGAACGCAGUGGGGACGGGUGAGGAACACGUGGGUAACCUCCCAUCAGAGGGGAAAACACUUGGAAACAGGUGCUAAACCGAUACUGAUGGAUGGACCCGCGGUGCAUUAGCUAGUUGGUGAGGUAACGGAUCACCAAGGCACCGAUGAAUAGCCGGCCUGGGAGGGUGAUCGGCCACACUGGAACUGAGACACGGCCCAGACUCCUACGGGAGGCAGCAGUAGGGAAUCUGCGGCAAUGGACUAAAGUCUGACCGAGCAACGCCGCGUGAGUGAAGAAGGUUUGCGGAUCGUAAAGCUCUGUUGUUGGUAAAGCUGUAAUCAACCAGAAAGUCACGGCUAACUACGUGCCAGCAGCCGCGGUAAUAC
rnacentral:rRNA from 1 species